UACGGAGGGUGCGAGCGUUGUCCGGAAUCACUGGGCGUAAAGGGCGCGUAGGCGGCCCGGUAAGGUUGCGGUGAAAGCCCGGGGCUCAACCCCCGGGUCGGCCGUGGCAACUGCUGGGCUGGAGCACAGUAGAGGCGGGUGGAAUUCCGGGUGUAGCGGUGGAAUGCGUAGAGAUCCGGAAGAACACCGGUGGCGAAGGCGGCCCGCUGGGGCUGUUGCUGACGCUGAGGCGCGACAG
rnacentral:rRNA from 1 species